AGCCACACUGAGGACGACAUCAUCUGACGUUCAUCUAAUGCCUCUGGACAUUUUGGCUAGAGAAAUGGCUGCAAUCACUGCUGCAAGACUAAGGGAGCUUUGUCUGUGGUUAUACGGCGACUACGGGCACUGUGUUAUCCUUGAUAUAAUAUCUGAUGUUCCAGGUGGUUUGGAUUACACAUUGUAUGAGCCGAUUUUUGCCACCACCUCUGAUAGAAAUGAUUGGAACUAAGAUUUCCUUAGUAUCAGACGUUACAUGGACUUCUUUACGGAUGGAUCUAAACUAGACGACCAGGUCGUUUUUGCUAACGUUUACAUCCCAUCCGCUACUUGAAGCGACAUCCCUAAUGAAGACAAUGCUGCAUCGAGUUUGCUGUUUGUUAACAACGCACACAACAAAUCAUCUCAAUUCAAGAAAAUAAUCAGACAAAAGGCAUACAAACAUACGAAAAAUUACUUCGAACCAGGACCAUUCGGAAAUAAUGAAAAUGGGCAAGAAUAAUGACAAAAGUUCAUGCAGGACUAGGAAUGGCAAUAGCAAUGACAGCAACAACUGCGGCUGUAGCAUCACCCAAUGCCACAGUCCUCAUCAACCCAAUGCGAUCAGAAACAGUAACCAAGGUUGCCUACGCAAUUAAUUUUAUUUCAUAUUUUGUGGUUUAAUGGCGAAUCGGUCUCAAACCACUACUGUAUGUGAAUGGCUGUGAUAAUUUUUAUGUAAUGGUCCCCAUAUAAAAAUUUGCAUUCACAAUCGCUAUCCAGCUAUCUUGUGUAACAUAAGAGGGAGAAAAAGCCACAUACCUCUGUACCUGACAACAUGUAACUAUGGACAGC
rnacentral:sRNA from 1 species